CAUACAGAAAUUGAAAUCUUCAACUCAGCCCUAACCUAAAACGUAACCUCAGAAAUUGAAAUCUAACCUAUGCUAAUACUUAUCUUAGAAAAUCGCUCUUGAGAGAAAUUGAAAACGAAACUUCAGAGAAUCGCUCGAGAGAAAUUGAAAACGAAAUAGAGAAUCGCUCUCACGAAUCUCGUUAUUUCCUCUUUCAACUCAAGGAAUUACCCUAACUCUCUAUUCUAAUUCUCUCACAACGAUCUGAACUCUCGCAAUCGCAACCACCGAUCAAAUCUCUGAACCCUACCUUUAUUUUUUCCCCUUUCAAUUCAGGAUUUAAUUCAGUUGUUAGGAAAACGCUUACAAAUAGGAAGGAUUCACAAGUGCUUAUGUUAGUAGAUAAGACCAAUUAAUUAAUCCAAACAGGGCCUUAAACCCAACAGAUUGGGAUGUAACGCUGAUGGAGUCUAUGAACAAGAGGUGUGUCUUCUUGGAGCAUGUUCUUGGUGUUAUUGGUUACUCCAAUGUUCAAAUUGUAAAAGGAAGAUCAAAGGUACAGAAACUCCAUUUCCUUUAAUAAGAAAUCUUAAUUUGAGUAUCCAAAGUGUUCGUUAAAAUGUAAAAGGGCGCAGGACAGAGUUUGGGGCGUGAUCUUUGCUUCAGAAAGAAAUUUAACAUAGCAGUAGUCAGGGCCGUUGCAAAGACAAGAAUUUAAUACUUUAUUGCCAUGUUAACAGUCAGUAGUUUGUUUGUUUGUUCUGUUUGCUGAUUUGGUGUUUGCUUCUUAUUUGUUUGUUUGUUGAUUUGGUGUUUUGCUUCUUAUUUGUUUUCAGCUGAGUGUCUUCUUAUUGCCAUGUUAACAGUCAGUAGUUCUCUUAUUGGCCUGUAGCAAUUGUUUAACCAUAAAAAAAUUAGAAAUUCUGGAUCAUUUUCACCCAAAAGACAACUUAGAUAUUUUCUUAUUGGCCUGUCAAAAUUGUUUAACCAUUGACAAGUUAGAAAUCCGAUAGUCUAAGGUUGAAGAAGAAAGUGACGGUGUUUGGGGCAUUGUUGGUGGAAAAGUAAGAAAAUUAUUCUGUACACAACCCACUGUUGGUCUAAUUUAUGUUCUUUUAUUUCAUCGUGUAUUUUAAAUUCUUCACGAGUCUGACUCUUUGGUUGAAUUAGAUAAUUUGGUUCAGUUCUUUUAUUGCAUCUUGUUAGUGCAUGGUAAAUUGUUUUUAUUGUCUAUCUAACUAUGUGUUGAAAUUCAACAGCUGAACUAUUGGGAUUGAGGAUUACAUUCCUCCAUAUGCAUCAGCUAGUGAUGAUGCCAUACUCAAAGAUGUCAAUUAUGCAUCUGAGAUAGUGAUACCGUGGUCCUUUCUCUCCUUCUCACCUCAGGCAGCUUUCCUAUGGUCCUUUCUACAACUAUUUUAUAUUAUAGUUAUUUUAAUAUAUAAUUUAUAAUGAUUCAAAAGUUAAUUAAAAUAAAAAAUUAUUUAAUCUUAGAUAGAAAUUACCUGCGGAUUUAUCUGCGAAUGUUUCUUGCGGAUUUAGCUGCGGAAUUACUUGCGGAACUUCCUGCAGAAAAUAUUACUCACAAAAGUUUUAGCUAGGGACAGAAAACCGCAGGAAAAUCUGCAGGUAACGUGUUUCCUGCGGAAAUUUAGCUAAAAUCCGCAGGAAAUUCGUGUAUUUCUAGUAGUGUUAUUUUGUUACAUAUAGCACAUAUUGUGAAAUCUUUGUCCUUUUUCUCAUUAUACAUAAGUUUGGCUUGUAUUUGAGUUCUACUGAAUUUGAAUCGAUUGAGUUUGAAAACAGCUUGGCAUAAGCUUAGUUUGAAUCUAUUAUUGGAUAGGGUAGGCAACUUCAAGAUAGGUUAAGUUAUUGGAGUUGGGACCAUGUGGUAGUUUUUAACAUUAUUUUAUGUAUAGUUCCAAACUAAUCUUUUUCUUAGGCUAAUCUAAAAUAUAAAUUAGUUUGGGCCACAACAACAGAGGCCUAAGAAAUUUUUAAUUUAAAAUGAUAAACGUAUUUUUGUUUUUUAUUUUCAGUUACUAGUAUAUAUCUUUUUAACUUUAAUGUAUAAAAAAUCAAAUUAGUUGUCAUUUUUUGUUUGAAAUUUGUAAAUUAUAAAACCAAUAAUGUUUUUUUAUAUAUAUUCAUCUCAUCAUAAACAUAAAUUACAUAAAAAUUAUUAUCAUACUAAUAUACAAUAUACAAGGUCGAUCCUGAUUUUUUAGGGGCUCAAGAUAAUUAAUAAAAGUUGAUCCUUAAUACAAAAAAUUGAACAACUAAUCUUAAAUUUUGAUUUUGAUUUUUUGGAUUUUGUUUUUCUCUUUUGUUUCAGAGAGAGGAAGGUCACUAUAUCAAAGUCAAAGAAAAUGACAAUGGUCGACCGAACUUUAUAUUUGUUUAUUUAAUUCUAUUUAAUUGUUAUGCAUGUUUUUUCUUUUAUGAUAGAUGUGCUUUUUUACUUUUAAUUUAUUUUUUUAUUUUUAGAUUUUUACUUUUUAGAUUUUUAAGGUGUUUUUUAGGUUUUAUGGUGAAGUAAUUGUGAGAUAUUAACAUGGGCCUCAAAUUUUUAUUACAAUUUAAUUAAACCUUAUAAAUAUCGGGUUAGGUUAGCCGGUCGUCCGAAACAAUUUUGAGACAAUAUUCUAAUUUUAAAAAUGAUCUCUAAUACAAAAAUUAUAUUAUAUUUAAAUAAAAAUUUAGAUGGGUAUUCAGUUUGAAUUGAAUUAUUUUACUAUAUUCUUAAUCUUCUUCUAUUUCUAUUUGUGGCAUCUCUAAUUUUUUUGUUUUAUGUUCUCUAGAAAAUACAAUUGCGUUGCUAUUUCAAAGUUUAAAAAUUUGUGUUAUAUGACGAAGUUAUUUUAAGACACUAUAUAAAGCACCUCAAAUUUUCAUUACAAUUGAUUUUAAUAGCACGAAGAAAGUCAAAUUAAUUAAAAAUAAUUCAAAAUUUUAUAAAUAUUGUGUUAUGUUAGACUCAUUUAAGUUAAAUUUUUAUUUUUUAAUUUUUUUAUUAAUUUAAUUUAUUAUCUAUAUAAU